rnacentral:lncRNA from 1 species
AAAAUGGUAUGCAAACUGAUUAGUCAUGCAUUUUCAAAUAUAAAUUUUUUAACUCAUACCAAUAGAUUUGUUAAUUGAAAAAAAUUGAAGUUGAAUAUAACUAGUCUUUUAUUUGUUAAUGAGGAAUUGGUUCUGCCGUAUAUGUCAUUAUAAGUUUGUAAUCACUUUCAUAUGACUUUUAAGUUUAUACCGUAAUUCCCUAAUUAUAAUUCGUUGAGAAGGAAUUCUUUACUACUUGCUAUUUUUUUAAAUGUUAUGUGCAGUCCAUGUAUAUAUCAUGUCACGAUCUACUUAUGUGGAUUCUCUAAUUCUAUGGAAAU